GGUCUCUUGUGGAGAUUCUGAGAGUUGUCUCAUUGGCAACCAUACAUCAUCUUCCUUUUUACAGGUAUUCAUUCUAAAAACAGAUGUCAGCUUUCUAAUAAAAAUUCCAGAAUAUGGUCCAUUGAAAAAUGCUGUAAUAAUUCACAAGUCUGUAAAGAUUUUGUACAAUAUUUAAUACAUUAAGUUAUAAAUAUAUUAUUUACAUUGUAAGAGAUAAACAUAAUUAAAAGCAACAACAAGAAGAUAUGGAUGUGAAUAAUCACAAGAUUUAGAAUUAUCUUAUUUUCUAAAAUGUUAUUAUUAUCUAUUUAUAUCAUGCUACUCCAGGGAUAUGAGUUUUUAUAGUCAAGUAAAAAGAGAUGAAGGAAGGCAUGAGUCUAGGUCAUGGCAAUAAACAGAUUAUCAAUGGCAUUUCAAACCCAAGGAUGUUUCUUGUCUGAUCUCAUCUCAGGGCUGUCGCCCUUCAAAGAGAUAGUAGCUUAGAAACACCUUCUUGUAUUGUCAACCAUCGAUAAUCUAUAAUUCUCUGAAUGAAGCAAGACUAUGUGACUCCAUUUUUCUUUAAAUAGGAUUUGACAACACUUGGUUUUACAUCCUGUUCUUACAAAAUUUCAUUAUCCUAUGGGUUUUCUAUAUCCUUGUACACCUUCAAACGUUUUGAGGUGAUGGACAUAAUAAUUAACAAAACAAAGAGUAUGGAGUGUUGUCAGAUUUUAUAAAGGGUGGGAAAAGAAUCUGUCUAUAUUAAAUCAAUCAAUCAGGUCAAAGCUGCUUUACUACAUAAAUGUAUUAUUUUCCAGAUUAUCUUUUUAUCAAUUGAAAAAAAAAGUCUAAUAAUGGUGACUAUAAAAACAGCAUAAUAAGAUCAUAAAUAUUUCAGAAAAUAUAAAAAUCUUUGGAGAAAAAUGAGUUUUACAUCAUUUCAUUGAAUACUGCAUGGCAUAUACUCCCAUUAGGGGUUCUUGUCCAAAAAAAUCUUGCCACAAAAAUUGAUCCAAGUUCUACUCAAAUGUUCAUAAACUUAUGAUUACUUUUUUUCACAUAGGAAUUUUUGUGAAAUGAGUUGCAGAACAAUAAAGCUAGUUCAUCAUGAGAGGCCACACAAUUAUAUCUCAAAGCUAGAUAACGAAAUCUCUGUCUGUAAACAGCUGACAAUGUACAUGUCAACCUUAUACUCAAUACAUUUGUGUACAGCUGAAGUAUUUAUUGUAAACAGAUAAAAUAUUUAAAAUGUACAGCUGAACAAUUUCUUGUAUACAGUUAAAAUAUUUGUUUUUCAAUUUUUUUCAUUUUUUUUUUACAUUUUAAACAUUCAAUUGAUGAAACUUUAUCUUUGUACACCUAUUACAUUUACUAAAAACAAAUAACUUCCAGUGUUUUUUCAUGGCUAAAACAUUUCUAUAAUUACAAUUUCUUAAAAAGCCAUUGCAAAUCAUCAUAUUUUAAAUAUAUGCCAAGGUAAGAGACAAGAGAGAAUAUUUUUUCAGUCAUGGAAAAACAAGACAUCUGUGGAUACUUCAACCUCUGUAAUUAUUAUGAAUAAUUUGUUGAUAGAUUGAUUGAUUGGUGUUUAACACCACAUUCAGCACUAUUGUGUUAUUUCAUGGCAGUCAGUGUUUAUUGGAGGAGGAAGCUGCUGGGCCUUGAGAACCACAGAUCUUCAGUAGGAAAACUGACAUUCCUAGUCAAUUAAGAUUGAAGUCUAACCAACACUGCCAAAAGCACAACUCACAACCUCUAGUGAUACAUUAGUUCGAUUACUUAGACCACCCGGCCACAAUGUAUAUUUUAGUAUGUAACAUCAACAAUAUAAAUAGCUAUAACAGGCAAAGGGACCGGUUUUUGUACACAUACAGCGGGUUUAACCCCAUCAAAUGUUGGGCUUGUACAAAUUCAGGUUAUGCAGACCCCAUGAUAUCGGUACAUCUUUUUUGGAAGAGUUGACUGCUGAUGUGGUCUGUUGUACUAAACAAUACUUCAAGCAAUUCCUGUUAUUCAUUUUGAUGUGUUAUGUUAAUAGAAUUUUUUGAUUUUCAAAGAAUAGUAUGUGAACCAUUUUCAAAAAUCUUUUAAGUGUGUAAAAAAACUUUAAAGGACAAAAUCUCUGUGAAGUAUACUAUUAAUAAUCAUCUCCAAAAAUGUUUUAAGAAGUAGUUUUAUGAAUCAUGAAUUCAAUUCUGAAGUCAAUAUUUGAAGCAAUCAGGUAAAUUUGCAGAUAGAUUAUGAGUUUUUCCUUUAGCUGCAUAGAAUUAAAAGCAUUAGUACAGAUUUAUAUAUAUAAACAACAAGAAACACCUUUGAUAUUGAUUCAUGACACAUCGCUCAUACAACAACCUUAAAUCCUGUAGAAUUACCAGUCUAAAUGUGCUGCAAUCUAUGCAUUUAAAGUUAAUUUUUACAAUGCUUUAAAAUCAUAUAAUGGAAACAACAGUAAUAAUUCCAUUCUGUACACCUCUGGUUUUAACAUAGACAGGGUUACUAUUGUGGAUGACAUUUAUUAUUGUCUAAGUUCUCUACUGAUGUCAGUGCUUACUGGUCUCAUGGGUCUAUUGACAUCAGUCCUGGCUCGUCUCCUCAGUUUGGUCCUCUAUGUUCAUAUUCUCUGUUAAUUCUAAUAUGUGUUCUACUGGCUGAGGGCGACCAU
rnacentral:lncRNA from 1 species